UAGAUAUAUUCAAAUGAAGGUCAUUUAUUAAAGGACAAAGAAACGAAGAGGAAGAUUUGUAACGAAUGAUAGAAUUUUCGAAUGUUUCAUCGAGUUGUAAUAUACUGUUAAACACUGGAAUGCUGGUAACUCGUUAGUCUUCCAAAACUAUUUCUGUUUCAUCAUAUUUUUAAUUAUGUCACAAUUUAUUGAAGUGUUAAUUGUCAAAAAUAAUAACCUAUUUAUUGAUUAAUUUACACUCCUCUUUGAGUUGUUUUUCUACACUCAUUUCAAUCUUCCUAACAUUGAACUGUGCAAAUUUCCAGUCCGCCAGUCUUCCAAUAUUUAUGUUAUUUUCCGUAUCAAUACCUCAUAAAUCUAUCUGCUAUCAUAUCUCUGUAUCCCAUUUUCUCAUUUAAUUUACAGUUCCUCUUCCAACUUUCUAAUGUCUCAAUUUUGAUCAUAAAUCAUCAUUUUGUUCUGUUUCUCUCGCA
ensembl:ncRNA C01F6.16 ncRNA